rnacentral:rRNA from 1 species
GAUGAACGCUGGCGGCGUGCCUAAUACAUGCAAGUCGAGCGAACAGACGAGGAGCUUGCUCCUUUGACGUUAGCGGCGGACGGGUGAGUAACACGUAGGUAACCUACCUAUAAGGCUGGGAUAACUUCGGGAAACCGGAGCUAAUACCGGAUAAUAUUUCGAACCGCAUGGUUCGAUAGUGAAAGAUGGCUUUGCCAUCACUUAUAGAUGGACCUGCGCCGUAUUAGCUAGUUGGUAAGGUAACGGCUUACCAAGGCAACGAUACGUAGCCGACCUGAGAGGGUGAUCGGCCACACUGGAACUGAGACACGGUCCAGACUCCUACGGGAGGCAGCAGUAGGGAAUCUUCCGCAAUGGGCGAAAGCCUGACGGAGCAACGCCGCGUGAGUGAUGAAGGUCUUCGGAUCGUAAAACUCUGUUAUUAGGGAAGAACAAACGUGUAAGUAACUGUGCACGUCUUGACGGUACCUAAUCAGAAAGCCACGGCUAACUACGUG